AGUUGUAACUUUCGAAAAAUCAAUUUUUUUUUGUGCAUUUUCUUAAAGUACACAUAUUUAGAAAUGUGUCUGUAAAUUUCAAAGUUGAUCCGGUGAAAAAUAAAUGAGAUAUACAGAACACUGCAUCGGCGCGUCCCGUGGCUUCAUACAAGGUGGCCAGCCAUAACUGACCCUAACGACAGAUGGCCUUUUCCUAUGAUUUAGAAACGGCAACCACUGCGGAAGAGUUAUUAUAUGGUCCAAGAAUCGAUGACUCUUUGUAACUUGGAAACAAAAUUUCUUCUGAACAAAAAAAAACGAAGUAUACUUGCAGAAUGCUGGUCACCGCAAUUCGCCUUUUUUCUUAAGACGCCACUUCAAUGGCUCAUAUCUCCAAAAGUUUUUGUUAAAAAAAUUUUUUUUUUCUUUUAAAUUACAGCUUUUUACAUGUACUUUUAACUAAUAAAUAGUAUUCUUUAAAAA